UACAGAGGUCUCAAGCGUUGUUCGGAUUCAUUGGGCGUAAAGGGUGUGUAGGUGGCGCCGUAAGUCAGGUGUGAAAUCUCGGGGCUUAACUCCGAAACUGCAUUUGAUACUGCGGUGCUUGAGGACUGGAGAGGAGACUGGAAUUCAUGGUGUAGCAGUGAAAUGCGUAGAGAUCAUGAGGAAGACCAGUGGCGAAGGCGGGUCUCUGGACAGUUCCUGACACUGAGACACGAAGGCCAGGGGAGCAAACGGG
rnacentral:rRNA from 1 species